rnacentral:lncRNA from 1 species
ACUUGAAUAACCAAACCUAUGCCCAAAUCCCAUCUUUGUGGGGCUAUCUCCUGGUACUCUUCCUAGCAUUUUUCUCUUUGUCAGAGUCCAAUCAGGAGACAUAAAUCACUUAAAUACAAACUGGUAACAUUUAAUGAUAGAUCUUCAGUUCUCAUGACCACAAAAGACCAAGUUUCAGACAGGAGAAGAGACGUGGCCCGGCAGUGUGUCCCUAGAGCCUAUGAUCUUGUCACUAGGUUACAGUGCUUCCAGGUAGCACACGGCUGGAGUGCGAUGGCAUGAUCUCGGCUCACUGCAACCUCUGCCUCCCAGGUUCAAGCGUUUCUCCUGCCUCACCCUCCCAAGUAGCUGGGAUUGCAGGCAUGCACCACUGUGCCCAGGAAGCUGAGAGUGCUGAGGGCACAUCUGAAACCACUGGAGGUUGGCGACAUGGAGGUCAGUAUAUUUUUAAAUGGAACCACCCCAAUCGUGAGAACUUCAGAACGGUGGCAGGCUGUGGAGAAAAUAAGAUGGGGGAGUCAGAACUGAAGAAUUUGGAAGUGCUCAAAUUUUUAAAUAACCAGAUCGAGGAGCUGCCAACACAGAUCAGCAGGCUUCAAAAACUCAAACACCUGAACCUUGGCCACCCUGUGUGCACUCUAUCUAAGUGACAACGGUUUUGAAAUCCUGCCACCAGAUAUUGGGAAGCUCACAAAGUUGCAGAUACUCAGCAAUAGGGAUAAAGACCUGAUCUCACUGCUUAAGGAAAUUGGGGAGCUUACCCAGCUUAAAGAGCUCCACAUUCAGAGGAACCGCCUCACUGUUCUACGCCCAGAACUAGGCAAUGAUGGGACCUCUUCUCCUGCAUUUGUUACCCAGAUAAUUUUGCCUUUGGAGAAGAGAAGAAAAUCACAUUGGUCUGCUCGGAAUGCAACAAAACAAAGUGUUAUUGACACCAAAACCUUAUUUGCACCAAUCCAAACAGCCUAUGGGACAUAUGUCUGCAAUGCUGCACACACCUGGGGCUAGCCAGCUUAGUGCCCUACGAUAUGUGCCAAUAAUCGAUAGCAUUUUUUACUACAGUAAUUAUGAGAAGCAUAGUAUUUUCUAGCAUGCUUGUGAAGAGUGGAAACAAAUAUUAAUCCCCUUCAGAGAGUAAAGGACAUUAUGAAUUGAGAAUUUCCUCCCAAUUUAUUCUCCAGAAUGAACAGAAUUAACAGUGAGUGGAUGUACGUCCAAAAUUUCUUCUGUUAUAUCUCUU